rnacentral:tRNA from 1 species
CGGGCUAUAGCGCAGUUGGUAGCGCGCUUCGUUCGGGACGAAGAGGUCGUGAGUUCGAGUCUCACUAGCCCGA